rnacentral:rRNA from 1 species
AACGAACGCUGGCGGCAUGCCUAACACAUGCAAGUCGAACGAAGCCUUCGGGCUUAGUGGCGCACGGGUGCGUAACGCGUGGGAAUCUGCCCUUGGGGUCGUAAUAACAGUUAGAAAUAAAUGCUAAUACCGGAUGAUGUCUUCGGACCAAAGAUUUAUCGCUCAACGAUGGGCCCGCGUAGGAUUAGGUCGUUGGUCGGGUAAUGGCCCACCAAGCCGACGAUCCGUAGCUGGUCCGAGCGGGUGAUCAGCCACACUGGGUCUGAGACACGGCCCAGCCUCCUACUGUAAGUAGCAGUGGUGAAUUAUGGACAAUGGGCGAAAGCCUCAUCCAGCAAUGCCGCGUGAGUAAUGAAGCCCUUAGGGUUGUAAAGCUCUUUUACCCGGGAUGCUAAUGACAGUACCGGGAGAAUCAGCUCCGGCUAACUCCGUGCCAGCCGCCGCCGUAA